rnacentral:tRNA from 5 species
UGCGGGGUGGUGUAAGGGGCAACACACCGGACUCUGGAUCCGGGUAUGGAGGUUCGAGUCCUCCCCCCGCAGCCA